GUCAGGGUCCAUGCAUAGUGAUUCAAAUUCUGUGAGAUUUCUCGAGGUGGAGUUGGCCGGGAUGAUAGAUAAUAUGAAUUCUGAAAGCUGGCGAUGUCGAAAGCGUAACAUGAAGUGUGACCUUUUGGUCGGCGCUAGGUAUUCCAGGGGUUUGACUUUUCCAUUAUCAAGGGCAUGGCAAAUCCGGGGAAACUCUUGCCCCAAUAGGUGUUUGAAGGUUUUGGCUUCCAAGCCCGAAAGGGAAGGCCAUGUUGUGGACUAGGGGGAGCAGUGGGGAUGGUGAGGUGGUAAGGGAUAGUGGCGUGGCCAUAGUGCGCCAGACUUGCAUGGUUUCUUUGAUAAGGGGAUGGUGAGGUGGUAAGGGAUAGUGGUGUGGCCAUAGUUCGCCAGACUUGCAUGGUUUCUUUGAUAAGGGGAUGGGUGGCUGCCAGCUCUCCGUCCUG